rnacentral:rRNA from 1 species
UACGUAGGUGGCAAGCGUUGUCCGGAAUUAUUGGGCGUAAAGCGCGCGCAGGCGGUCUUUUAAGUCUGAUGUGAAAGCCCCCGGCUCAACCGGGGAGGGUCAUUGGAAACUGGAGGACUUGAGUGCAGAAGAGAAGAGCGGAAUUCCACGUGUAGCGGUGAAAUGCGUAGAGAUGUGGAGGAACACCAGUGGCGAAGGCGGCUCUUUGGUCUGUAACUGACGCUGAGGCGCGAAAGCGUGGGGAGCAAACAGG